CACGGGAAAGACGAGGCCGUCGGCGCUGAAGAGGGCGCUGAGCAUGAUCCGAGAGGACGCUGAGUGAGGCGCUGGCUGACACGGACUGUAGAAGCAGGAGGGGGGCAGUUCGGCAAGCCUCUCGUUUCGUCUUUCGCCAUUUUUGGCUGUAGAAGCAUAGAUGCACGUGUUCAAAGUUCAAACUAACUUCUUGUAUGACUGUAAUAUGGUUCCCGAUUGCACAUACCUGAAAAAGUGGUAAACAAGAGUCACGGUGAAGCAGCUCGUGCAGAGAACCUGCUUCUUUUGAGUCCACCGUGCCGUCCACCCCCUGGUCAGUGUUUCGUUCGCCGUCCACCCUGGCCGUCGCGAGGAGCCCGCCUCCG
rnacentral:lncRNA from 1 species